rnacentral:snRNA from 1 species
UAAGGGAGAAAGCCCACUA